rnacentral:rRNA from 1 species
CCUAGGGUGGCAGCAGUGGGGAAUAUUGGACAAUGGGCGAAAGCCUGAUCCAGCCAUGCCGCGUGUGUGAAGAAGGCCUUCGGGUUGUAAAGCACUUUCAGUGGGGAAGAAAGCCUUGGGGCUAAUACCCUCGAGGAAGGACAUCACCCACAGAAGAAGCACCGGCUAACUCCGUGCCAGCAGCCGCGGUAAUACGGAGGGUGCGAGCGUUAAUCGGAAUUACUGGGCGUAAAGCGCGCGUAGGCGGUCUGAUAAGCCGGUUGUGAAAGCCCCGGGCUCAACCUGGGAACGGCAUCCGGAACUGUCAGGCUAGAGUGCAGGAGAGGAAGGUAGAAUUCCCGGUGUAGCAGUGAAAUGCGUAGAGAUCGGGAGGAAUACCAGUGGCGAAGGCGGCCUUCUGGACUGACACUGACGCUGAGGUGCGAAAGCGUGGGUAGCAAACAGGAUUAGAUACCCCAGUAGUC